GCCAGGUGUGGUGGUGCACACCUGUAGUCCCAGCUACUCAGGAGGCUGAGGCAGGAGGAUCACUUAAGCCCAGGGGUCAAGGCUGCAGUGAGCUGUGAUGACAUCAGUGCAUCAGUGCAUUCCAGCCUGGGCGACAGAGUGAGACCCUGUCUCUA
rnacentral:SRP_RNA from 2 species